GUGCCAGCAGCCGCGGUAAUACGUAGGUGGCAAGCGUUAUCCGGAAUUAUUGGGCGUAAGGCGCGCGUAGGCGGUUUUUUAAGUCUGAUGUGAAAGCCCACGGCUCAACCGUGGAGGGUCAUUGGAAACUGGAAAACUUGAGUGCAGAAGAGGAAAGUGGAAUUCCAUGUGUAGCGGUGAAAUGCGCAGAGAUAUGGAGGAACACCAGUGGCGAAGGCGACUUUCUGNGUCUGUAACUGACGCUGAUGUGCGAAAGCGUGGGGAUCAAACAGGAUUAGAUA
rnacentral:rRNA from 1 species